CCUUGCAUGUCAGAGUGGUUAUGUCGCGGAUUGCAAAUCCGCUUACCUCGGUUCGAUUCCGGGUCCAGCCUCCA
rnacentral:tRNA from 1 species